rnacentral:rRNA from 2 species
UAACAGAACCCUUCGGGGCGAAGAUAAAGUGGAUUAGCGGCGGACGGGUGAGUAACACGUGAGUAACCUGCCUUAGACAUUGGGAUAGCCUCGGGAAACCGGGAUUAAUACCAAAUAAAAUCAUAAUGACACAUGUCAUAACGAUCAAAACUCCGGUGGUCUAAGAUGGACUCGCGUCCCAUUAGCUAGUUGGUAGAGUAAAAGCCUACCAAGGCGACGAUGGGUAGCCGGCCUGAGAGGGUGAACGGCCACAUUGGAACUGAGAAACGGUCCAAACUCCUACGGGAGGCAGCAGUGGGGAAUAUUGCACAAUGGAGGGAACUCUGAUGCAGCGACGCCGCGUGAACGAAGAAGGCUUUCGAGUCGUAAAGUUCUUUUAUAUGGGAAGAUAAUGACGGUACCAUAAGAAAAAGCCCCGGCUAACUACGUGCCAGCAGCCGCGGUAAUACGUAGGGGGCUAGCGUUGUCCGGAAUCACUGGGCGUAAAGGGUUCGCAGGCGGAAAUGCAAGUCAGAUGUAAAAGGCAGUAGCUUAACUACUGUAAGCAUUUGAAACUGCAUAUCUUGAGAAGAGUAGAGGUAAGUGGAAUUUUUAGUGUAGCGGUGAAAUGCGUAGAUAUUAAAAAGAAUACCGGUGGCGAAGGCGACUU